GUUUAGGUUUCAAGUACUGUGAUAUCUACAGAGUACCCUAGUUUCCGCUAACCAUGAGAUUUCAAUGCUGUAAUUUGAUGGAAAUGUUUGAAUUCAAGAAAUGAAAACUCGCUACGGCACUAAAAGCUGCAGUGGCAUCCAUGUUUCAGGGUGUAUGAGGUUAUGUGGCUUGACCAUUUUGAAGCAGGUAAGUGCCAAACCAGAGACGUCAGCACCUUUGGGUGUAUAGUGUGUUCUUGUUCUGAUAUUGAUCUUCCCAUGUGCUCAGGAUUUCCCUUCCAGAAUCGAACAGAGCUGUCAAUCACAAUGAAUCAGGAUGCAGGCUGAGUGAAAUGGGGGGAGAGGUCUUGUUGGUCGGAGUUCCUUUGGAGGAAAAAAAGGUUAGAGGGUGUUUGGAAUUUGCACUUUGACCCAAAGUGGUAAGGGUGGGAAGAGAGAUGGGAGGUCUAAUCCAACCGCUUUGCCAUUCUUCUAGUGUUUAUUGUUAAUAAACAAAUCCAGAUAAAAGUGUUUGAGAUUCCAUAAUUAAAGGACAAAUAACAAUUGGAUCGCUUUUGUUUAGUGUGUAUUUUUAUACAGAUAAAAAUCACAUGCAAAGGUGCUAACAUGUGGUAGCUUUCAAGCAUGUGAUGGGAGGGCUUUUCUUAAAUUUUACCUUUUGAUUCAUUGAAUGAAUGUUACUCCAGUUUGGGAGUAUCAAAUUUUAGAUUUUCUUGUAUUA